rnacentral:piRNA from 1 species
UGGAGUCAUAGAUGUUGCCUGGACC